CAAAAGAGAAGCAAUACCGUGAGGUGGAGCAAAACUCAAAAAAUGAUCUCAGUUCGGACUGUAGGCUGCAACUCGCCUACACGAAGUUGGAAUUGCUAGUAAUCGUGGAUCAGCAUGCCACGGUGAAUACGUUCCCGGGUCUUGUACACACCGCCCGUCACACCAUGGGAGCUGGUAACACCCGAAGUCAGUAGUCUAACCGCAAGGAGGACGCUGCCGAAGGUGGGAUUAGCGACUGGGGUGAAGUCGUAACAAGGUACC
rnacentral:rRNA from 1 species